UACGUAGGGGGCAAGCGUUGUCCGGAUUUAUUGGGCGUAAAGAGCGUGUAGGCGGUUUGGUAGGUCCGUUGUGAAAACUCGAGGCUCAACCUCGAGACGCCGAUGGAAACCAUCAGACUAGAGUCCGGAAGAGGAGAGUGGAAUUCCUGGUGUAGCGGUGAAAUGCGCAGAUAUCAGGAGGAACACCAAUGGCGAAGGCAGCUCACUGGGACGGUACUGACGCUGAGACGCGAAAGCGUGGGGAGCAAACAGG
rnacentral:rRNA from 1 species